rnacentral:rRNA from 1 species
UGUAUAAUGGGUCAGCGACUUAUAUUCUGUAGCAAGGUUAACCGAAUAGGGGAGCCGAAGGGAAACCGAGUCUUAACUGGGCGUUAAGUUGCAGGGUAUAGACCCGAAACCCGGUGAUCUAGCCAUGGGCAGGUUGAAGGUUGGGUAACACUAACUGGAGGACCGAACCGACUAAUGUUGAAAAAUUAGCGGAUGACUUGUGGCUGGGGGUGAAAGGCCAAUCAAACCGGGAGAUAGCUGGUUCUCCCCGAAAGCUAUUUAGGUAGCGCCUCGUGAAUUCAUCUCCGGGGGUAGAGCACUGUUUCGGCAAGGGGGUCAUCCCGACUUACCAACCCGAUGCAAACUGCGAAUACCGGAGAAUGUUAUCACGGGAGACACACGGCGGGUGCUAACGUCCGUCGUGAAGAGGGAAACAACCCAGACCGCCAGCUAAGGUCCCAAAGUCAUGGUUAAGUGGGAAACGAUGUGGGAAGGCCCAGACAGCCAGGAUGUUGGCUUAGAAGCAGCCAUCAUUUAAAGAAAGCGUAAUAGCUCACUGGUCGAGUCGGCCUGCGCGGAAGAUGUAACGGGGCUAAACCAUGCACCGAAGCUGCGGCAGCGACACUAUGUGUUGUUGGGUAGGGGAGCGUUCUGUAAGCCUGUGAAGGUGGCCUGUGAGGGUUGCUGGAGGUAUCAGAAGUGCGAAUGCUGACAUAAGUAACGAUAAAGCGGGUGAAAAGCCCGCUCGCCGGAAGACCAAGGGUUCCUGUCCAACGUUAAUCGGGGCAGGGUGAGUCGACCCCUAAGGCGAGGCCGAAAGGCGUAGUCGAUGGGAAACAGGUUAAUAUUCCUGUACUUGGUGUUACUGCGAAGGGGGGACGGAGAAGGCUAUGUUGGCCGGGCGACGGUUGUCCCGGUUUAAGCGUGUAGGCUGGUUUUCCAGGCAAAUCCGGAAAACCAAGGCUGAGGCGUGAUGACGAGGCACUACGGUGCUGAAGCGACAAAUGCCCUGCUUCCAGGAAAAGCCUCUAAGCAUCAGGUAACAUCAAAUCGUACCCCAAACCGACACAGGUGGUCAGGUAGAGAAUACCAAGGCGCUUGAGAGAACUCGGGUGAAGGAACUAGGCAAAAUGGUGCCGUAACUUCGGGAGAAGGCACGCUGAUAUGUAGGUGAAGCGACUUGCUCGUGGAGCUGAAAUCAGUCGAAGAUACCAGCUGGCUGCAACUGUUUAUUAAAAACACAGCACUGUGCAAACACGAAAGUGGACGUAUACGGUGUGACGCCUGCCCGGUGCCGGAAGGUUAAUUGAUGGGGUUAGCGGUAACGCGAAGCUCUUGAUCGAAGCCCCGGUAAACGGCGGCCGUAACUAUAACGGUCCUAAGGUAGCGAAAUUCCUUGUCGGGUAAGUUCCGACCUGCACGAAUGGCGUAAUGAUGGCCAGGCUGUCUCCACCCGAGACUCAGUGAAAUUGAACUCGCUGUGAAGAUGCAGUGUACCCGCGGCAAGACGGAAAGACCCCGUGAACCUUUACUAUAGCUUGACACUGAACAUUGAGCCUUGAUGUGUAGGAUAGGUGGGAGGCUUUGAAGUGUGGACGCCAGUCUGCAUGGAGCCGACCUUGAAAUACCACCCUUUAAUGUUUGAUGUUCUAACGUUGGCCCGUAAUCCGGGUUGCGGACAGUGUCUGGUGGGUAGUUUGACUGGGGCGGUCUCCUCCUAAAGAGUAACGGAGGAGCACGAAGGUUGGCUAAUCCUGGUCGGACAUCAGGAGGUUAGUGCAAUGGCAUAAGCCAGCUUGACUGCGAGCGUGACGGCGCGAGCAGGUGCGAAAGCAGGUCAUAGUGAUCCGGUGGUUCUGAAUGGAAGGGCCAUCGCUCAACGGAUAAAAGGUACUCCGGGGAUAACAGGCUGAUACCGCCCAAGAGUUCAUAUCGACGGCGGUGUUUGGCACCUCGAUGUCGGCUCAUCACAUCCUGGGGCUGAAGUAGGUCCCAAGGGUAUGGCUGUUCGCCAUUUAAAGUGGUACGCGAGCUGGGUUUAGAACGUCGUGAGACAGUUCGGUCCCUAUCUGCCGUGGGCGCUGGAGAACUGAGGGGGGCUGCUCCUAGUACGAGAGGACCGGAGUGGACGCAUCACUGGUGUUCGGGUUGUCAUGCCAAUGGCACUGCCCGGUAGCUAAAUGCGGAAGAGAUAAGUGCUGAAAGCAUCUAAGCACGAAACUUGC